rnacentral:lncRNA from 1 species
GCCUAUCCAAACCCACCCAAAAUCAAGUAGAGGUAAGUUUGCGCGGUUUGCGAUUGUGGUAGAUCUGAUGAAACCGCUAAAGGCUUUUGUUGGAAUCAACAACGUCCCUUUUUGCGUUGAGUAUGAGGGGCUUCCUUUAAUAUGCUAUAAGUGUGGUUGUUAUGGACACCUUCAAGAGCGUUGUACAUUGGAAAGAAAGGAACCGAAGGAAGCUCGAUCUGCGGGUAGUGAAUCCAGACCGUCACCGCCGUCAAUAGAGAGGAUAAUGGCUGGCCAAAACUGCUUUGGUCUGUGAAUGCUAGCUCCUGGCUGGAAACUGACAAAAUAAUUGGCAGCAAACAAUUAUCGGAAGAAACAAAAUGGUGUUAAAUUAGCCUCGAAAAAUAUUCAUUUUGAUAUUCUUGUAGAUUUGGAUGACACGAUAAUUGAGGAAUCGCG